GAUCCCCCAGAUUACAAUGUAUCUCCUGGUGCUCACAGGUAAGUGGCUUUGUUCUGCCUGAGUGGGACCAAUCUGUGAAGGCUCUUGCGGAGCAGCAGACUUGAAUCAGAGAAUACUUUUCUUGUGCACCCUAAGGAAAUUCUAUUAGUAUUUCCUAAGUUUCUCUAGAAGAUAAAAUGUAGGGUCAUUACAUGGAUCUCACCCUCACUCCUUCUUUCAAAGAAGUAUUCAGAAUCGACUAAGUUACCCCAGGUUUCCUGCUUUUUAUCUCUUAGAAGAGGACUGGGGUUUGGGAAGCAUCUCUCUGUGCUACAACAUGAAGACUGUGAAUGGCCAAAUGAAUAUGCUUUCUGGAGAAAAGAGACCUUGACUUUGGUUCUGUAUCCACCCAGUGAGAUCAGUAGCAGCAGAGUGAAGAAUAAUGGCGCUCCAUCACUGGCUGAUACUGAUGUCACACAUUUCCCUUCCACUGGACAUUUUAAAGGGGACUCGAUGACAUGGAUGCAUCAGCUGAAAAGAGGUCUGCUGGAAACCCUAGUCUGGAUCUUUAUUUGGUCCUGCAGCCAGAAAGCUGUUUGCAGAGCUUUUGUGAAUCAUGCCCUUUGUGAACAACAAAGUCCAUCCUCCUUUCAUGGACUUUGACGAUGGAGAGUAUAUUGAGCCGAAGAGCUGCACCUGUCUUCCAGGUAAAAGAACUGCAAUUUCCAAGCACACAGAGGUACCAGUUGGAGUGUUGGUGCUGAUUGCCUUGCUCCACAGCUGCGCAUCUUCACAGGUGAAGGCCAGGACUUUCCCAUGGCAAUUUUAGCAUAUUGUAAUUGUUCCAAGAUGUCCUAGAAGCUCCCUGCAUUUCUCUAAGGCUGUAACCCAGUCUGACAGACUCUCUUGGUAGGCACUGUGCACAGAUCACCUUAUCCCCAACCCUUUCAUGUGAAAGGCUGCCUGGGGAGACAGAACAUAAAGCAUUCCAUCAGACCCUGUGCUCCUGUGAGAGCGACACACUGACUCAUAGUCUCUUGGUUUUAUAACCCCAAUUACCCUUAAAGGAUAAUUGGGUUUUAAUUUAUGUCCCAGUUUUUAUGUCACAAUCAAAGAAAACUGAAAUUUCGGUGAGUUGUAAUUAUCAUCAGCUGUGCUGUGGAAACAUUCUGAUGUGAGCUCUCAGUUUCCAAUAGGGAAAGCAAUUUCCUGAAGUGAUUACUGUAUACUUCAGUGUGGAGAAUGGUCUAUAUUUCUGGGUAGGGUGAGCCAGCCACAGAGCAGGGCAAUAAUUCCUAGAGAAAUGGCUAUUUUCUUUGCUAAUUCCAGGAGUCAAUAUGAAAGCGAAAUGGCAAUAAAUGUGCCACAUGAUUACCUUUUAAUAACUGAGGGCUGUACCUGUUUAGGAAAAGAGAAAUGAAUGCCCCUUUUUAUUACUAGAGAGUCCAAGGUGGUAGUAAACCUAAUCUCAGGAAAAGUUCAGGUCAUGAAGUCCCACUGGAGAGAAAGAUACAGGGUCAUUCUAAAAUUACUGAAUGAUUAUGUAGUCUCCUGCCUGAACAAUCUGACAGUUAGCUAUGGGAAUUGUGUGCCACCAAAAUAGCUAACUGCAAGGAUGCGCUCAUCAUGAGAACAUCCACUCCUGGAAAUUCAGAGAUUCACAGUUUCACCUUUUGCAUGUGUAAUGCCUAUGGGAUAUAAAUAACUCUCCCCUAAAACCUUCUUCUUGAGUAACAUAUUUGCAUAAAGCUGCAGCCUCACAAGACUUCUGACACCUUUCUUAAAAAAAAAAAGUUGUUCAUCUUAAAGAACAGGCAGAUUGAGAUUUAUAGGAAGGGGUGGGCAGGUCCCAGUCCCCACUCUUUUUGUUCAAGCCAUGUUCCCAGCCUUCCCCUUGCCAACAGCAGAGAAGCUCAUACACCCGUUUGCAGUAGGGUGUAUUUACAAUUUAUUUCAUUAAUGUGUUUGCCAACCCCUAGGAAAAGCUCCAAAUGGAUAUUUGGAGGUAAGGGGACUUUGGGAUCAAGUAAAGGGUAUGGUCUAAGGUUCUAGGGCCACCCACCAGGCAAAGAACUACGGGAACUCCUGGAUGUGUCUCUCGGAUCAUGGUUUGUGGGGAGGGUUGGUCUGGGAUAUAUUCUCCUUGAGAUCAAGAGCUUGUCAACUCAGAAUGUGAAACUCAGAGGAAAAGGCUGGAGCUCAAAAGUACAAUAUGCUGCUGAACAAGGGCGCCAAUGUCAGCUCCAAAAGAUCCGCUCAGAAAGAGCUCUGUUAGUCCUCAGAAAGAUCUUCUAUAGCUCACAGGAGCUGCUUUCAAUCCUUAGAGGAGCAUUUUCCCCACAGCUAGGAAAAACAGUAAUAGGGAGAAGAAAUCCUCUCAUUAAAGAAAUCAAUGCCUUCUUUUCAACAUAAACUUGGAUCUUAUUUCUUCAAAAAUGUCAAAAGGGCAAAUACUGAAAACAGUCAGAAGCAAAACCGUUCUGGUUUUGGGAGCAAAAGAAUUCUUCGUAAUGGCAGACGAGGAAUCACUGCAUGGGGCGAGUAUGGCUUCGUGGAAUGAGAGAACCUGAGGGCUCACCACAAUUGCUCCAAGUUGAAGAUAAAGUGGGGAAAGAAAACACCAGUUCCAAACGUCAGGGGUAGCACCCACGUCCGCGCUUUCCUUUGGAAUCGAAAAAUGUGCGCGCCCCCUAGUGGCCUUUAGGGAAACCGCCGGCGCGAUCUGAACCGCAGGUGUGUGAGUUCGGGAGGAGUGGGGUGUUUGGAACAGCUCUCAAUUCAAAUACACUUCGAGCUGCACUUAUCUUUAGUUUUAAUAAUCCUUUUAAAAUAGAUAAGCUAGGUAUUUGAUUCACGGUAGUGUUUAUAGGGGGAAAGGUGCUAAGAGGAGAAAGAUGAUGAUGAACUUCAUGGGGGCGUGGAUCUCUUUUCUGUGGCUACAGUCCUAAUACUUAACCCCUGGUGCAGGCUCAUUUGUCAGAUCUUUCAUUAUGAUCCAUUCAAUCAAAAUCUGGAAAAUAAAUGAUGAUAAUGGCAAACGAUUUCAUAUAAAAAAAAUAAACUCUCCAAAUGUGAAAUGUCUACCUUCUUCAUGGGGAUGGCAUCAGGGGAUAGAAAAGUGACUUGCUCAAUGAAACAAAUUUAGGUGCUGGAAACUGGAUCACAAAUCCAGUCUCCUUGUCCGUUCUUCACUCUCUCUACCGCAUCAGUGUUCAAAAAUGUAGGCCUUAACACUGAUGGCCAAAGACACAGCACUGAAGAAUCACGAAAGUGUGGCAGUAGUUCCCUUUUCGAUUUUCUUUCGAUCCUGCAUUUACCAAGAAGAAAGUCUUGGUUUGGUACUAGCCUGUCUUCAGCGCCUUGAACUAACACUUGCUAAUCUCCCUUUUUGACAACAAUAAAAAGAUUCCCCCAAAACAAACAAAAACAGACUUUAAGGCCAAAGUCUUUACAUGCAAUGAUUUGAUCCAGAAUUUAAUAAAACUGUUUUGUUUUAAAGAAUAACUUAUGUAGGACAAAUGACGCUUUUUUUUUUGAAAUUCAUAUUUUAAAGCUUAGUUUAAAAAUACAUGUAACUUGCUUUUUAAAAAUCAAUUUAAGAAAUAAAUAUUUUUAAAGCAAGCAAAUAAUAUUACAGGCAGUCAACAGUUGCGACACAAAAAAUGUGUAAUUGACAUUUGAAUGUCUGAUAUUUGGAAGUCACUGCAUAUAACAUGCCAUAUGUU